GACGAACGCUGGCGGCAGGCCUAACACAUGCAAGUCGAGCGAGCGGCGGACGGGUGAGUAAUGUAUGGGGACUGCCCGAUAGAGGGGGAUAACUACUGGAAACGGUGGCUAAUACCGCAUAUUAUCGGAUAACCGAGAUGGGAUGAGCUAGUAGGUGGGGUAAAGGAUCACCUAGGCGACGAUCUCUAGCUGGUCUGAGAGGAUGAUCAGCCACACUGGGACUGAGACACGGCCCAGACUCCUCCGGAGGCAGCAGUGGGGAGUAUUGCACAAGGGGCGCAAGCCUGAUGCAGCCAUGCCGCGUGUAUGAAGAAGGCCUUGGGGUUGUAAAGUUCUUUCAGCGGGGAGGCGUUACCCGAAGAAGAAGCACCGGCUAACUCCGUGCCAGCAGCCGCGGUAAUAC
rnacentral:rRNA from 1 species